rnacentral:pre_miRNA from 1 species
CUUGUACUCCCUCCAUCCGAAAAUACUUGUCAUUGAAAUGGAUGUAUCUAGAUGUAUUUUAGUUCUAGACACAUCCAUUUUGAUGACAAGUAAUUCCGGACGAAGGGAGUACUUG